rnacentral:lncRNA from 1 species
AGUAAAGUUAUGAAAUGAUUUUUCUACAGCUAGUAAGAGGCAGAAUCAAGAUUCAAAUUCCCAUAACUCUAAACUGCCUGGUUUCAGGAGAGCCAGGUCAGAUGUGUGUGUGAAUGACUAAUGCCGGAUGAUGAAGAGGAAAGGUACCAGGGAACAAGCUUAUUAAGAUGGGCCCCUUGUCUGAAGUUUCCAACAGACGCCUGCUUGUUCAGUGGUCUACACUCCUGCUCAGGGCUUCUCAGUCCUUGUUCUGGCUGCCUUUCAUUGGGGCAGCUCAGUGGCCAAAUCAAAGAGUGAACCAACAUGGAGAUUGCUUCAGAGAUGUUGAGCAAGACACUCUUGCAAAAUGGGCAGGUAAAGGUGCUGCUCUGGAAGAGAUCCGUGGUGCAUUCCAAGGACAGGAGGUAUUCUCAAUGAAGUGAGCUUUGUAGAAAUGAGCUUGCCUUGGCCCUACUUCUGAGAACACUCUGAUUCAGGAAGUCUGGACUAUAUUACAGGGGGGAAGAAAAAGCAGGAAUUUUGAUGGUAUCUAAGGCGAAGAACCACUACCCCUCCUUUCUGUAGAGGAAUUAAAUCUUGGGAAGUCCAAGAGGUCUAUUUUCUCAUUCCAGCUCUGCGUGAAGGUGGACACUUUGAAGCUCCAAGAUUCUGAGUUCUAAUUUCUGAAUUCAGUGAAUAUGUAUUGAGUGCACAGAAUAUGCUAGACAUUGUGAAUUAAAAGGGGGAUAGUCUUAAUGGUUUUUACUAUUGUCCAGAGAAGUGUGAUUCUUUAAGCCACUAAUUAAAUAUUAGUAACUUGCUUUUCAAACCGCAAAAGGAGACAACCAGCCUGAGUGUCUGUAGCUAUGAGUAUAUCCACACUGAUGUAGCACAGACUAGCAGAUAUUGUUCCAAUAUGGUAACACUGCUCCAAUAGACUUUAAACAGUCAUUCUGGUUUCACAUAUUUAAUUUCAUAAUCCAUAAUUUUUCAAAAUCUGUUGUACUGCAAAAUUACUCUUGGUCCAUGUGACAGCACUAACAAGUUUUGAAAUGUUUUUAGAGGU